UUGCCUGCAGCCCAACAGCCAGCCUGGCGGCCGGGCGCAAGGUGGAUGCCAGGCUGAGCUCGGGCUCUGACCUCUCUUGGGUGCCCGGAUCUGUAGGGCAGACUUCCCCCAGGAGGGGCGGCGGGCACAGCGCUGGGCCCACCCACACGAGAGCGCUUUGCUUCUUGCAAAACAGCAAGUUGCGCACGUCAACCGUUGGCAUCAGGACAGCAAUCAAAAUCAAGACCUUUUGGAGCCCGUCUUCUUGUACCCAGAGGGAAACUGAGGCCUGGACCCAGGCUUAAUUCCCGUCUGGCUUCUGAGCCAUUGCCAUGAGUCAGAAGCCAAAAGUUUCUUUUCGUUCCUUCUUGUGUCUGACCAUUCUCCCUGCUCCCUGGGCUCAGUGCUGAAUUCAGGUGAUCUCCUCUAGCGUCUUGCUUCUAACAUCCGGCGAGAACGGCAGCCGCAUCAGGUUGGACAGAAGAAUUUUUGAGCCAGAGCAGAUAAUUCGAUUUGCUGUUGUCAACACUGGGGGAUACGAAGAAGGGGCUUUAAGGAUUGGCAGGACUUGGAUCAUACACCCUAAAGAAGAGGAUGGAUGAAAAAGGAGGAGGUUGGCCCGAUGCAAAGGGAAAAUGUGUGCUGGGAGGGGGAGCUAAACUGGCUGGGGAAAAUAAAGGCAUCUCAUGGGGGACCUUGAAUAUCAGGGGAAAAUCUGCAUCCUAUCCCAUAGGCAAAGGAAUAA